GUUACGGCUAGCGGUCUGCGCUCCGCACAUUUUCACAUACAUACUAUUUGUGUAAAGUUCAUUAUUAUUCUGCUUUUAAAUAGGAAAACUGAAAAUUCCUAGAGGUCUCGGUAAAAUAUUUCCGAGGGAUGUUCGUGGGGAGUAUUCGGGUGUGAUUUAUGUCAUUUUUUUUCAUUAAAAAAAAGUUGAUGACUUUGACAGCUCAUUAUAAAUAUUUACAAAUUGAAAAUUGUAUUGUGCGAAAAUCGAAAGUUAUAGUUUUAUAUAAAUUUAUCGACAUUGCUAAAAAUCUGAGUAGGUAGCCUGUGAAUUAAAAAUGUGAUAAUUAAAUGAAGCCAGAUAAACCCAGGUUAAAGGAAUUAUUUAAUAGAAUUAACAAACUUGAGUAACAUGCAAUGAAAACGAAAUGAAGCUAAAUAUUAAAAUGUCGUAACGCCAGCUCCACAGUUGACCCGUAGUGAUGUAGUCUGUAUGUUGUUAGCAAUGAUCAUGUGAAGUAAACAUUGUUCCUUACUCUAAGGCCAGUAUUAGUUGUAUAAUGUAUAUAGAUUAGCUAGUGAUAUGUGUUAUAUAUUGAUGACGCUGGGAUAUGACGCUUUUCUUCCACAUCUCCGCCGCGCCCACACCAGACCGGAGGACGAGACUUAAUGGUUUACAUGGACGACAGAGGAGGCGCAGGGCGCCGCGACAGCGCCGUGCCGCCCCACACAAUAGAGGCUUGUGAGGCUCCGAUCCAGGUGGAGCCGGUGGACCUGAGCGUGCGCCGCCCGCCCACCCCGCACGCCGCUCGCCGCCGCCCGCG